CCCCACUGCUCGGAAACGAAUUCUACGGGGUGUGGGGUGAAAAGCACAAAGUGCUGGACACUCCCCCUCCCCCACCCCCCGCAUUUUCAGCGCCGUUGGCACGCCAGGCCUUCCCGAACCACACUAAAAUCACAGCUGGGACUUCCCUGGUGGCGAAGUGGUUAAGAAUCUGCCUGCCAAUGCAGGGGACACGGGUUCCAUCCCUGGUGCAGGAGGAUCCCACGUGCCACGGAGCAACUAAGCCCGUGCACCACAGCUACUGAGCCUGCACUGUAGAGCCCGUGAGCCACAACUACUGAGCCCACGUGCCACAACUACUGAAGCCCACGUGCCUAGAGCCCGUGCUCUGCAAUAAGAGAAGCCACCGCAAUGAAGAAGCCCGCGCGCAGCAAUGAAGACCCAACGCAGCCAAAAAAGCUGCCUUACAGCCAAAGAAGUACGGGGUGAUGUCCUGGGAGUCCUGCUUUUAUCAUGAACCCCACCAUCUAGAAGCAUCUGGACUUGCAGGGGGGAUGAAAUGGCCCUUUGAAGACUGCUGUGGUUCCCCCUGGGAGACAACAGUGUGGCAGCUCGGACAGCCAUCUUGCAAAUGCUCUUACACCUCGAGCUGUUUCUCCUGCCGACAGAACACGUGUGUAUUCAGACUUCCUCCUCCCCUGGCCUGCUAAAGAGGAUUCAAUAAUUGCACCAGGGCUUCCCUGGUGGCGCAGUGGUUGAGAGUCCGCCUGCCGACGCAGGGGACACGGGUUCGUGCCCCGGUCCGGGAGGAUCCCACAUGCCGCAGAGCGGCUGGGCCCGUGAGCCAUGGCCGCUGCGCCUGCGCGUCCGGAGCCUGUGCUCCGCAAUGGGAGAGGCCACAGCAGUGAGAGGCCCGCGUACCGCAAAAAAAUAAUAAUAAUAAUAAAUAAAUAAUAAUAAUUACACCAAGUUUGCCCCACCCCCUCCCACCUUAUUGAACAUAAGGUGGAAAAGUUGCUUGCUGGAGGAAAGGCAAUGCAGAUACAUAUAAUAAAGUGUUGUGACGGGCAGGGGAGGAAUGGAGCUCGUUAGACUGGGAGUGAAAGAGUGGUUUGGGGGGUGCAACUUCUAGAAGAUUUGCUUAGGAC